rnacentral:rRNA from 1 species
UGCUGGAGGUAUCAGAAGUGCGAAUGCUGACAUAAGUAACGAUAAAGCGGGUGAAAAGCCCGCUCGCCGGAAGACCAAGGGUUCCUGUCCAACGUUAAUCGGGGCAGGGUGAGUCGACCCCUAAGGCGAGGCCGAAAGGCGUAGUCGAUGGGAAACAGGUUAAUAUUCCUGUACUUGGUGUUACUGCGAAGGGGGGACGGAGAAGGCUAUGUUAGCCGGGCGACGGUUGUCCCGGUUUAAGCAUGUAGGCGGAGGUUCCAGGUAAAUCCGGUACCUUUUAACGCUGAGGUGUGAUGACGAGGCACUACGGUGCUGAAGUAACAAAUGCCCUGCUUCCAGGAAAAGCCUCUAAGCAUCAGGUAACACGAAAUCGUACCCCAAACCGACACAGGUGGUCAGGUAGAGAAUACCAAGGCGCUUGAGAGAACUCGGGUGAAGGAACUAGGCAAAAUGGUGCCGUAACUUCGGGAGAAGGCACGCUGAUAUGUAGGUGAAGCCCCUGCGGGUGGAGCUGAAAUCAGUCGAAGAUACCAGCUGGCUGCAACUGUUUAUUAAAAACACAGCACUGUGCAAACACGAAAGUGGACGUAUACGGUGUGACGCCUGCCCGGUGCCGGAAGGUUAAUUGAUGGGGUUAGCGGCAACGCGAAGCUCUUGAUCGAAGCCCCGGUAAACGGCGGCCGUAACUAUAACGGUCCUAAGGUAGCGAAAUUCCUUGUCGGGUAAGUUCCGACCUGCACGAAUGGCGUAAUGAUGGCCAGGCUGUCUCCACCCGAGACUCAGUGAAAUUGAACUCGCUGUGAAGAUGCAGUGUACCCGCGGCAAGACGGAAAGACCCCGUGAACCUUUACUAUAGCUUGACACUGAACACUGGUCCUUGAUGUGUAGGAUAGGUGGGAGGCUUUGAAGCGUGGACGCCAGUCUGCGUGGAGCCGUCCUUGAAAUACCACCCUUUAAUGGCUGGUGUUCUAACGUAGACCCGUAAUCCGGGUUGCGGACAGUGUCUGGUGGGUAGUUUGACUGGGGCGGUCUCCUCCCAAAGAGUAACGGAGGAGCACGAAGGUUAGCUAAUCCUGGUCGGACAUCAGGAGGUUAGUGCAAUGGCAUAAGCUAGCUUGACUGCGAGAGUGACGGCUCGAGCAGGUGCGAAAGCAGGUCAUAGUGAUCCGGUGGUUCUGAAUGGAAGGGCCAUCGCUCAACGGAUAAAAGGUACUCCGGGGAUAACAGGCUGAUACCGCCCAAGAGUUCAUAUCGACGGCGGUGUUUGGCACCUCGAUGUCGGCUCAUCACAUCCUGGGGCUGAAGUAGGUCCCAAGGGUAUGGCUGUUCGCCAUUUAAAGUGGUACGCGAGCUGGGUUUAGAACGUCGUGAGACAGUUCGGUCCCUAUCUGCCGUGGGCGCUGGAGAAUUGAGGGGGGCUGCUCCUAGUACGAGAGGACCGGAGUGGACGCAUCACUGGUGUUCGGGUUGUCAUGCCAAUGGCACUGCCCGGUAGCUAAAUGCGGAAAAGAUAAGUGCUGAAAGCAUCUAAGCACGAAACUUGCCCCGAGAUGAGUUCUCCCUGA